CCGCCUUUGCCCCUACCCUCUCUGUUCUGGUUGCCUCCGCUGUCUCUCUGCGCUUCAGCUUUGCCUAAGGAAUCAUUUGCCUCGAAUAGUCUCCGGCGAACCCUAACAAUCUUCGCUCUCCAAUUCAUUGGUAUAGCGGGAUUAGGGUUUAGGGUAAUCGAUCGAAGUUUGACGUUAUUUGGGAUAAUUUUGAGUUGUAUGUAGGUGAAAGCGUUGAUGCACUGUGGGAGCUGAAGCUGUUCUUUUAGGUCAGAAUGGGAUUUGAUAAUGAGUGCAUAUUAAACAUUCAAACUUUAGCUGGAGAGUAUUUCUGCCCUGUCUGUCGUCUGCUUGUAUACCCAAACGAGGCAUUACAGUCACAAUGCACUCAUUUAUACUGCAAGCCCUGUUUGACAUAUGUUGUGAGUACUACUCGGGCUUGUCCUUAUGAUGGCUACUUGAUAACUGAAGCAGAUUCCAAGCCACUUGUAGAAUCAAAUAAAACACUUGCUGAAACCAUUGGCAAAAUAGCAGUUCAUUGUCUCUACCAUAGGAGUGGAUGUACGUGGCAGGGGCCUUUAUCUGAGUGCACGUCACAUUGUGCUGGAUGUGCAUUUGGCAAUUCUCCUGUUGUAUGCAACAGGUGUGGGAUUCAAAUCGUGCAUCGUCAAGUACAGGAACAUGCACAAAAUUGUCCUGGUGUGCAGCCCCAGGUACAGCAGGCAGAAGGUGCUCAGGACACUUCAGGCGCUGGCGGAACUGCAACUGCUGAUCAAACUCAGGCUGGCACUCAGGCAGGAGUAACAACUCCUCAGGCCCAGACUUCUCAAACUACUGCAGCCACUACACUUGGACAGGAUCCUAAUCAGCAAGCAAACCCAAAUUCUCAAGCACAAGCUGUAGUUCAGUCUGCUGUGCCAACUCCAGAACAGUGGUAUCAGCAACAACAACAGUAUCAGCAAUACUACCAGCAGUAUCCUGGAUAUGACUCCUAUCAACAGCAUUAUCAGCAGUACUAUCCCUAUCAACAGCCUGCAGCUCCGCAAUACCCUCAGCAGAACUUGCAAGCUCAUCCACUGCAUGGGACUGGUCAGCCUCAGCCCCAAACCCAAGCACAGCCUCAGCCCCAAACCCAAACCCAAGCACAGCCUCAGCCCCAACCCCAAGCACAGCCUCAUCCUCAGCCUCAUGUCCAGCUUCAAACCCAACCACAACCUCAGCCUCUUGGACAAUCUCAAUCACAUCCACAUAUUCAAGCUCCAGCGGUUUCUCAACUUCAGAACCAUGCACAAGUUAACCUGCAACAGCAAGCACAAACUGUGGUGUUGCCACACUCUCAAAUUCAGUCGCAGACUCAUCAGCCAGCCCCAGGCCACCCACAUCCUCAGCCAUUUCCCCAAGCUCAGCCCCAUGCCACCCAACCUCAUCCACAACAACAUGUGCUGGUGCCUCAAUAUCAGCAGCCUCAUCAUCAGAUGCAACACCCACAGCUUCAAAUUCAACAACAGGUGCAUCAACAUCCCCCUUCUCAACCCCAACCUCAUUCACAAGCCCAGCUACAAGUGCCAGUUCAAAAUCAUUCUCAGCCACAUCCCAACCUAAAUCCUAAUGCCCAGCCUCAGAUGCAGCAUCCAUCUGCCCAUGCUGUGACGGGCCAUCAAUCGUAUCCUCAGCCUCAACUUCAGCCUCAGCAGCAAAUGCAUCUAGUAGCCCCACAACAACAUCAAAUGCACAUGCACCCUCAAGGUGGGCCUCAGCCACAAUCUCAACAUUCUGGUCAGAUGCCAAGUCAAUUCCCUCAACAACAUCCUCCUAUGCGUCCACCCCCUUCUCAUGCUACAAUUCCAAACCAGCAACAGGCGGCUUUGUUGCCAUUGCCUGGUCAAGUUCAAAACAUUCCUCCUGCACAACAGCAGCCAAUUCAACAAUCUGGACAUCCAAUCCACCAGCACCCUGUUAUGCAGCCAGUUCAGCAGCCCAUGGCUCAGCAAUAUGUGCAGCAUCAGCAGCCUUUUGUACCGCAAGGUCCAUUUGUACAGCAGCAGAUGCCCACCCCCACUCAGUUGCGGCCCCCAGGGCCGCCUCAUUCAUAUCCACAACAUACUCAUGCCUAUCCACAAAUGCAGCAGAAUGUAGCAUUACCACACGGAUCUCAAAAUGUUGCUGGAAGACCCAUGAUGCCAAAUCCUGGAGUACAAUCACAGCCAUAUCCACAAUAUGCUGCUAGGCCUAUGCAUCUUGGUGCAAGCCAACCAUCUGCAAAUCAGAACAAUGUGCUCAGAAACAACCAAUUGUCUACUGAACAACAGUCUGGGGCAACUUCAAGGCCAACAAUGUCCAUAAAGAAAGGUGAUCACGUAAUUGAGAAAAGUGUGGGUGAUCAAGCACCUGGAUCAUCUUCUGAGAAUGCUGUGAAAAAGGUCUCAUUGGAUGCUGCAUCUGGUCUGGGAGCUGAUGCUGGUGAAGUAAAAACUGUGAAAUCUGAAAUUGAUAUUAAGGCUAAGGAUGAUGGUGAUGCAGAACCUGAAUCACGUGCAGUGGAAAAUGGAGAACUUGUUAAACGGAUGGUGAAGGAAGAGGCUUCAGAAAGUAAUUCAGAGCACUUAAAUGUUGGUAAAUCAGGUGAACUUGAAGCUGAGGUCAAGAAAGAUGUUUCUAAUGCUAGCCCAAAACAUUUGGACAAUUCUGCCAUGGAAGACAGAAAAAAUCAGGGUGAUCCUCUUCUGAAAAAUCCAGCAUUCCAUGAAUCUGCACAUAUGGAAAAACUGAGCGGGAUAUUGCAGAAGGAUUCCAGUGGGAUUCAGCACCCUUCCACUGGUGCUGAUGAAGCCUCACAAGCCUUGUCCAUGACUUCAGCUCCUGUCUCCCGUAGUCCUGCUCAGAAUGUUGUCCCCAAAGUAGCUGUUUCUCAAGGCCCUGGAGUUGAUGAAUACAGAGGUUUUCCUCCACCUGGUCAGGUGCAAUCUGGGGCAUUCACACAGUCUUCUCACCCAGGCCCAAUUGCUGAUCAGGGACGGCAUUUUGGGCCUUCUACUCUCCAGCAAAGGCCUGGUGCUCCAUUGUUACAAACGCCUCCUCCUGUGCUCCCGCAUCAUACACAUGCAGCAGGGCACCCUUCCACUCAAUUAAGGCCUCAGGGACAUGGGCAUGUACCUGAGCAUUUCCAGCCGCCUGUGUUUAAGCAGUCUCAAGGUCUUGAAAUUCCUCCUGGUGGCAUCUCAGGCCCUGGCUCCACAGCAUCCUUUGGGAGGGGAUCAGGUUAUUAUGGUUUUCCCCAGCAGAACUUUGAACCGCAACCUGUUGCACCUCAAGGGCCUCGAAGUCAAGGGCAUGCACUCUCUAACCCUGCUGCGGCUUCCAGAAUGUCUCAAGGUGAAUCCAUUGGAGGGGUAUUUGGUACGCUACCUCCUGGUGCAAUUGAUUCACAUGCUGGAAUGAUGGCUAGAGCACCACCACAUGGCCCUGAAGGUUUGAUGGGUCAGCAGCGCCCUACUAAUCCAAUGGAAGCUGAAUUUUUAACACAUAAUAGACCAAGCUACAUGGACGGUAGACGACUUGAUCCACAUCUUCCUGGGUCUUUGGGACAGGGUCCAGUUGGUCAGCCUUCUGGUGUAAUGCGAAGUAAUGGCCCCCCUGGCCUUGAGUCCUCUUUGACACUUGGAUUGCGGGACGAUAGAUUGAAACCUUUCCCAGAUGAGCGUUCCAAUUCCGUUCUAGGGCGACAUGUUACAGAUCGAGGAGAGUUUGAGGACAAUCUCAAUCAAUUCCCCAAGACUUCUCGUUUGGACGCUGAACCUAUACCUAAGUUUGGGAGUUAUUCAUCAAGGCCCCAUGACAUGGGACCAUAUGGGCUAAAUAGUGAUACUGGUUUGAAAAUGGAUCCUGGGGCUGGCAGUGCCCAUUCAAGAUUCUUGCCUUCCUAUGAUGGAGGAGAGAGACCGGUUGGUUUGCCAGAUUCUGCUCGUAAUCAUCCAGAUUUUCUUGGACCAGUUAGUGGGUAUGCUCGACGUCACAUGGAUGGUCCGACUCCUAGAAGUCCAGUUAGAGAAUACCCUGGCAUAUCCUCACGUGGUUUUGGAGGCCUUCCUGGCCAAUCAGGCCAAGAUGACUUUGAUGGCAGGGAAUCACGUCGUUUUGGUGAUCCAAUUGGCAAUUCGUUCCAUGAAAGCAGGUUUCCUGUUUUGCCCAGUCAUUUGCACAGGGGUGAGUUUGAGGGUCCUGGUAAGUUACGAAUGGGUGAGCAUUUAAGGAGUGGUGAUAUGAUUGGUUUAGAUGGCCAUUUACGGAGGGGUGAACAUUUGGGUCCCCGUAACUUGCCUAAUCAUAUGCGGUUGGGAGAGCCAAUUGGCUUUGGUGACUAUCCUGGUCAUGCGCGGAUGGGGGAAUUGGCUGGGCUGGGGAACUUCGAAUCUUUUGGUGCAGGCAACAGGCCAGGUCAUCCACGAUUUGGUGAGCCAGGAUUUAGGAGCAGUUUCUCUCUUCAGGGAUUUCCAAAUGAUGGUGGAAUGAAUACAGGAGAGGGAGGGUCUUUUGGUAACCUAAGGAAGAGGAAGGUGGCUAGCACAGGAUGGUGUCGAAUCUGUAAAGUUGACUGUGAAACAGUUGGAGGCUUGGAAUUGCACUCACAAACAAGGGAGCACCAGAAGAUGGCUAUGGAUAUGGUACGGAGUAUCAAGCAGAACGCAAAGAAACAGAAAUUAUCAACUGGUGACCAUUCCUCACUUGAAGAUGCAAGCAAGUCAAAGAGUACCAGUUUUGAGGCCCGUGGGAAUAAGCAUUAAGUGGUUCUGGUGUGCUGAAAAAUGGUCCAUUGCUGAGUUGGGUUCAAUUUAGUGUUUGUGGUAUUAUUGCCUAUAGUGAUGUAGGUGAUUCACCCUUCAUGCCUCUUUUCUCAUUUCAGGGUGGUUUAUGUUAGUUUUGUCAUUUCAGGUUGCUGCCAUGUUUAUGGAGAUGAGUUUUGGAACUGAAGUGCUGUGGCAGGUGUCAUAGCUAAAAAUAAAGUUGUCUGAUAUGGUUGCUUGGUUUAGCUGGUGAUUUGCUUCUGUUGUCAAAAAUGUGUCAGAUUUUCAAUUCGACGUGUCUUUUUACGGCGAAGCAGACAACAAAAUGGAUGAAAGUUCAGUGGAAAGGUUUACCCGGUCACCUUUUAUGGAUGUGGGGUGGGCAUUGGAGGUAGCGGAGGCAAAAAUGAGCUUUCCACUUUCUGCCUCCGCCACUGUUGGAAAGUCAGAAUGAUGUCCAACUCUUUUCCGAUAAGAGGUCAUUUUUACCCAGCCUCCGCCUCCAAAAGUUGGGCAGAGCCGUCAUAAGAGUUCUAAUGAAGACGAAGAUGUGCCUCGUCUUCGUCCCAAAUCUGAGACAAAGACCGAGUCUUCUUUAGAGAGAGAAAGAGAGAGAGAGAGAGAGAGAAAGAGAGAGAAACACCAACACAAAUGGACCCAGGCUGGGGUGCAGGGGAAGAUAUAUAUAUUUUUAAAAAAUAAAGGGAUGUUGGAGUCCAAAUUCGGUUGGAAAUGGAAACCAACUUCUGCCCCACCUCCGACUUUCAUUGGAAAUGCAAAUGGGCCUCUGCCCCUCUGUCUGCUGUUGGAAACCGACCUGCGCAAGUUAGAAAUGGGUCAGCUUUCAGAAUCGCCGCCUCCACAACCCUAUUCUUGUGCCAUGUAUCAAAACCUUAACAGUUUUGAAUACAAAAAUCUGAUUAUAGUGAUUUCUGUUUAAAAUUUCAGUGCCAUGAUCCCUCUUGACACUUGUUCUGCUGUCAAAAACCUUUAAAUAAUUACUAAUAGUAAUACCAGUAAUUUGUUAAAUAUCGCCUCUGAAUGGGCUCUUUUGAUUUUUUCCAUUAUGAUCUUAUGAGAAUUUUUCAUAAACUUUUUUCGUCAUAUAUUGUUUUUAUCACGCCAAAUUUAGGGUUUUAUUGAAGUUAUGGAGUGCCUUUUCGAAGUUGGAUGGCAAUUGUGGAAUUCAAACCCUGCUUGGUCAUGGUUUACCAGGUUUGUGGUUUUUAAGUCUAAUUUUUUUUUGGGUAAGAAAUUCCAUCUUAAAUAAUAACUUGUGUCUGGUUCUUGCUUUUAAUCUGUCUUUGAGAUUGCAUGAAAAGUUGGUGUUUCACAUUGCUUAUUCCAUACUUAUUGGCGGUCUUAAACUUUCAGAAGAGUAGGAUCUAAGACACUUCCCGCUUUUGUUCUUUUUUCUUAUAAAAUAAUAUACCAUAGGGAACUCUCCACACGGUUUGAUGCAUUAAUAUCAUACUUACCAUACCUCUUCAAAAAGAAUAAGGGUAAGAUGGUAAUAAACAAUAACGAUACUUGUUUAUAGAAGGCCACAAGCUUCUUCUAUAUUUGGCAUGAAAUUACUGGAAAUAUCUAAAGAAGAAGGCAUAGCCGAAGGCAAGCAUAGUGCAUGCACCAUCUAGCGCAUAGAAAUCAUAGGUCUUAGUGGGCAGCCACACUAUGGAUAGUUAUGCUAGUGGACAAUGCUCUUCCAGUUAUUUACGAACUUGUUGGGUGAUGAUUUAACAGACGUGGUCCUACAGAAAUCUUAAUGCCUUGAUGGUGAAACGAUAUUUUAGCUAACUUCUAGAUAGUAGGAAAAAAACCUGUUGAUUUAACAUGCUACUUCUGGGUGAAUAUUGGACUCUACUGGGUCUCAAUUCGUUGGAUGCUAGAUGUUAGAGUUGACGUUCUUAUUUUUGGUUCCAGCUUCUGUAUUAUUAGUAUUUUUUCCUCUUGAAAAUGCAUUAUCUACUUGUAUCGAAUAUGAUGUUUAUUGGAUUUUGGAUAAUGAUAAUUUCUCGUCUGUUUCUGUUUUUUAUUCUCUUGGUAAUUGAGCUUCCGGAGGUGCUCAGUAAUUGUUUUGGGGUUUUGUUGUCAUUUAAAUGUUUGAAGUACUUGUUAUUUUUAUUUGACCAGAAUGUUAUUUGUUGAUUGAUCUCUGGAUCUAUGUUUGAAUGUUCGACUUAAUAGCUUAAUUCUGUUUUUGAUGCCCAAAAUGCGUAGGCUGGUUAGAAUUACAGGUCCACACGAAAGUUUUGCUUAGAAUUAUAGGCUUGAACAAAUUCCUUUGAUUGAUAUCUCAAAUAUUUUCUUAGGCGUGCAUAGAAAUGCUUGAUGGUGAAAGAUAUCUCGAAGGUGUUUUUGCCUUCUAAUUUCUUUUUUGAAGUUGUGGAUAACCCAAAUUUCCUGAAUGGUUCUGACCUUAUGGUUGAAUCAAUCCCAUCUGAUACGAACCGUUAAAUUUCUUUCUUGAAGCAAGUUGAAAUUGCUUCACUCUUCUGACUUAUUAUUGCUGUCAAGAAGCUUUGGCUUCUUCUUCCCUCACCAUUAAAAAAAACAAAUCUUUAGGAUUCAAUGAUCUAAUAGACUGAAUACGGCCAUAAGCUUUGUGAUUUAGGAUGUGAUCUUGUUAAUAAUCGUUGACUUAAAUUGUCACCCUUUUCAACCAAUAUGAUCCUAGGAGAUACUUUAAAUUUGUGAGCAUCAGAAUGCUGCAAACCUAUGGUGAAGGAAUAUCUAAACAAUUGUUCUUGCAUCUGAGGAAAGUGUACAACAUGAAAACUAUACAUGAAGGAAAAAAGUACAAGCUAGGAAAAAACAAACCAGAAGAUUAUACUCGGGUCUAAAAUCUUGUUACGAUGUUUGAAGAGAACAAUUUCUUAUGAAGCUUACCACUUGGAAUAUAGACAUGCCAUUUUGUUGUCAUUUUCCUUGAUGUAGAAGGCAUUCUAGUAUAUAUCUAGUACUUGUUUUAUGGGUUAUUGAGUGCUAACUUAUUGGGUUUUACACUUGCCCCCUUCACACACGCAUCCUAAUUGCAAUGUCUCCUUCAAACUUUAAAAGGUUCAAUUGACCUCCCAAACUACCAAACCCUUUCACUUAGGCUCUCCUCCCUUUGUUACAUUUUUUUUUUUUUUAAAAAAAAAAAAACUCUUCUGGCCAUAAAUCUCCUCUCAUGUUUAUUUUUUAAAACAAAUUAAUUAUGUGAUUCGGGGGGUAUUAUUGUUGUUCCAUAAAAAUUUUGUUGGAUUUAAAGGAAAAUUUUAAUGGAGGGAGCUAAGUGAAAGGGUCAGAUAUUUUAGGGGGUCAAUUGCAACUAUUUAAAGUUUGGAGAACAUUGUAAUUUAGGUGUAACGAGGGGGUAUGUGUAAUUUUUCCUAACUUAUUUUGAAGCUGGCUACCAGUUAGUGCAAGUGCCGAGGUCCUGCGUUGGCUAUUUCUCUGUCUGGGGAUUUUACAGUUUUGGCCAUUGAGGUUCUAUUUCUUGUGAUUAUGCUUCUUGUACUUCUUUGAAUUGCGAAUAUGUAAAACCUUCAAAUACCAUAUUUCAAUUUAAAGGCUUGCCUUUUUCUGAUA